GUGGGGAAUAUUGGGCAAUGGGCGAAAGCCUGACCCAGCAACGCCGCGUGAAGGAAGAAGGUCUUCGGAUCGUAAACUUCUAUCCUUGGUGAAGAUAAUGACGGUAGCCGAGAAGGAAGCCCCGGCUAACUACGUGCCAGCAGCCGCGGUAAUACGUAGGGGGCAAGCGUUGUCCGGAAUGAUUGGGCGUAAAGGGCGCGUAGGCGGCCUGGUAAGUCUGGAGUGAAAGUCCUGCUUUUAAGGUGGGAAUUGCUUUGGAUACUGUCGGGCUUGAGUGCAGGAGAGGUAAGUGGAAUUCCCGGUGUAGCGGUGAAAUGCGUAGAGAUCGGGAGGAACACCAGUGGCGAAGGCGACUUACUGGACUGUAACUGACGCUGAGGCACGAAAGCGUGGGGAUCGAACAGGAUUAGAUACCCUUGUAGUCC
rnacentral:rRNA from 1 species